rnacentral:rRNA from 1 species
UGGAUGUUAGCAGUUACUUGGAUAACUGAGGUAAUUCUUGAGCUAAUACAUGCGAAAAAUCCCGACUCACGAAGGGAUGCUUUUAUUAGAUCAAAACCAAACAGCUUCGGCUGUAACACUGGUGACUCUGAAUAACUUUGGGCUGAUCGCAUUGCCUUGAGCAGGCGACAUUUCCUUCGAAGGUGUGCCCUAUCAACUGUCGACUGUGAUAUAGACGCUCACAGUGGUUUUGACGGGUAACGGGGAAUCAGGGUUCGAUUCCGGAGAGGGAGCCUUAAAAACGGCUACCACAUCCAAGGAAGGCAGCAGGCACGCAAAUUACCCAAUGAACGAAGUUCGAGGUAGUGACGAAAAAUAACAAUACAAGACUCAUCCGAGGCCUUGUAAUUGGAAUGAGUACACUUUAAAACCGUUUCACGAGGAUCUAUUGGAGGGCAAGUCUGGUGCCAGCAGCCGCGGUAAUUCCAGCUCCAAUAGCGUAUAUUAAAGUUGUUGUGGUUAAAAAGCUCGUAGUUGGAUUUCGGCGGGUAUUGGUUGGUUUGAAUUGCUUCAACACUGACUUUUUUACCCGUGUGUUUUGCCAGAAUUUAGCGGGUGAUCUUCGCCGAUUGUCCGUUGGAACUGGUAGGUUUACUUUGAAAAAAUUAGAGUGCUCAAAGCAAGCUUACUGCUUGAAUAGUUGCGCAUGGAAUAAUAGAAUAGGAAGUCGUUUCUAUUUUGUUGGUUUUCGGAAAUCGACUUAAUGAUUAAUAGGGAUAGUCGGGGGCAUUCGUAUUCAAACGACAGAGGUGAAAUUCUUGGACCGUUUGAAGACGAACUAAUGCGAAAGCAUUUGCCAAGAAUGUUUUCAUUAAUCAAGAACGAAAGUUAGAGGUUCGAAGCGAUUAGAUACCGCCCUAGUUCUAACCAUAAACGAUGCCAGCUAGCGAUCUGCCGGCGUUUAAUUUUCUGACCUUGUCGGCACCGUUUGGGAAACCAAAGCUGUGGGUUGCGGG